UCGACAGUCAUGCGUUUUCUCGGCCUCAAAUUGGUCUAACUUUCGCGGCCUUGUUCAAAUUAUUGCCUACUUACUUACUUGAUUACUUCAUGAUGUUGAGAGGUCUAUGUCCACUACUGCUUACUGGUCCAGUGUCUCACUUCAUUAGAUUCAGCUGGCCAGAUUUAUUUGCUACAAACACUGCAUAGACUAGAAUCUAGCUAUGCACUCCAAGAUGAAAUGUUUGGCACCAAGACUCAACACUACAAGGAAGCACAGUACAUACUUUCCCUACAGCUGUGUCAUCACAGGUCUCACGGUACAGACCUCACGACCCUCAUGAACAAUAAUCCAACAUUCACAUCUGUAGGUCUGUAAAGAUGGUAACUUAGAAGAGCCAGGAUAAGAGGAGAGGAUGAGAGAUCCACUGAAAGGGGCAGCCAUGACCAGACCACACCGGAGGAGUAUGUGUGUGUUAAGCCAACCCACAAGCAAGUAUGACCCACCCUAAACACAGGCUACCAGGAGGGUGCAGGAGGUACUCCGAGCUCCUCAAAACCUUACUCUAGCUCUGGGUUGUUGGGGAAGAACUCCAACUAUCAGUGGUCGCGCCCUAGGUACAGCAGAUGCACCAAGUCAGGUCUCGCAUCACCCUGAUGCCUAAAAAACAUUUGGUGGGCUUUGACCAAGUCUGAACAAUAACUCACAGACUACAACAUGGCUUACCAAAGUUUCUGGAACUUCCUAAGAUGAUGAACACUUUAUAUGAUGGAACUCAAGGUACAUAAUACUUUCCCAUGAUAAUAAUGAUAAAAAUGCAUUUUAUGUUGAAAUAAUACUUAAAUUUAUAAACUAUUAAUAAGAAAAUUAAGAAAUUAAAAAACUCUUGUACAUGAUGAAGUAUUAAAUCAUUAUUC